rnacentral:rRNA from 1 species
UACGAAGGGGGCUAGCGUUGCUCGGAAUUACUGGGCGUAAAGCGCGUGUAGGCUGCUUCGCAAGUCGGAUGUGAAAGCCCUGGGCUCAACCCAGGAAGUGCAUUCGAAAACUGCAGAGCUGGAGUCCUGGAGAGGAAGGCGGAAUUCUCGGUGUAGAGGUGAAAUUCGUAGAUAUCGAGAGGAACACCGGUGGCGAAGGCGGCCUUCUGGACAGUGACUGACGCUGAGACGCGAAAGCGUGGGGAGCAAACAGG